rnacentral:sRNA from 1 species
UUUAUAUUCUUGGCGCGCUAUUCUAGUCCAAAGACUUAUUAGGAAGACGGGAUUAAACAACCGUUAAGGGCACAUCUAUGAAACCUUUGGUGUUUGCUUUUGAUGCCCAAUCAGGGGUGAAUGCUGGAGAUGUAAGGGUACUGGGCGACCGUAAUGGCAUACGUGAACCGACCCAUUACCCAUAGGAGACCUAGCCUUGUGACUGGCCUACACGGACAACUCUGAUGGACCAGUUACGACCUAGGAUGAACCUAUACGUGGCGAAAGUUAUGUAUAGUGUAGCCUGUCUUGAGUGAAAGUUUGGGAAUUAAUGAACUUAUUUCUUUCGUAGGCCAACGAAAGCCUUAUGCGUUAUGAAACAAUUUUUGCAAAAAAGAACUAAUAAUAAGAAAUUGGUGAGGAAAUCUCCUAGAGCGUAAAUAGAAUGGGAUUGCAGUGAAUACUAAGUGGUAAUCAAGUCAUACAAAUGGUGACAUUGUAUUGAUUCUUUGAAAGGGGAACCACAUUCUUGGUAACGAGAGUGCAAGAAUUAGAGAAAUUCUACUUGACCUAAGAUUCAAAGUUUACCAUUCUAUAGCCAAAUAUCUAU